rnacentral:rRNA from 1 species
UACGUAGGGUGCAAGCGUUAAUCGGAAUUACUGGGCGUAAAGCGUGCGCAGGCGGUUUUCUAAGUCAGAUGUGAAAUCCCCGGGCUCAACCUGGGAACUGCAUUUGUGACUGUAGAGCUGGAGUACGGUAGAGGGGGAUGGAAUUCCGCGUGUAGCAGUGAAAUGCGUAGAUAUGCGGAGGAACACCGAUGGCGAAGGCAAUCCCCUGGACCUAUACUGACGCUCAUGCACGAAAGCGUGGGGAGCAAACAGG